UACGUAGGGUGCGAGCGUUAAUCGGAAUUACUGGGCGUAAAGCGUGCGCAGGCGGUUUUGUAAGUCAGAUGUGAAAUCCCCGGGCUUAACCUGGGAACUGCGUUUGAAACUACAAGGCUAGAGUGUAGCAGAGGGGGGUGGAAUUCCACGUGUAGCAGUGAAAUGCGUAGAUAUCUGGAGGAAUACCGGUGGCGAAGGCGGCAUCCUGGACCGGCAUUGACGCUGAGGAGCGAAAGCCAGGGGAGCAAACGGG
rnacentral:rRNA from 1 species